rnacentral:rRNA from 1 species
AUUGAGCGCUGGCGGCAUGCCUUACACAUGCAAGUCGAACGGUAACAGGUCUUCGGAUGCUGACGAGUGGCGAACGGGUGAGUAAUACAUCGGAACGUGCCUAGUAGUGGGGGAUAACUACCCGAAAGAGUGGCUAAUACCGCAUGAGAUCUACGGAUGAAAGCAGGGGAUCGCCAGACCUUGUGCUACUAGAGCGGCCGAUGGCAGAUUAGGUAGUUGGUGGGAUAAAAGCUUACCGAGCCGACGAUCUGUAGCUGGUCUGAGAGGACGAUCAGCCACACUGGGACUGAGACCGGGCCCAGACUCCUACGGGAGGCAGCAGUGGGGAAUGUUGGACAAUGGGCGAAAGCCUGAUCCAGCAAUGCCGCGUGCAGGAUGAAGGCCUUCGGGUUGUAAACUGCUUUUGUACGGAACGAAAAGCCCCGGGUUAAUACCCUGGGGUCAUGAUGGUACCGUAAGGAUAAGCACCGGCUAACUACGUGCCAGCCGCCGCUGUAA